AGGAGGAACAACCCCAGUGGCGGGGCAGCUCUGCAGCCCUGGAUUCAGCUCCCGCAGUAACCACAGAGCUCAACGUCUGCAGGGCCUGGAGGCACCGGGGCGGG
rnacentral:pre_miRNA from 1 species